GCGAGGUCAGACGGUAUUUUUGAACGAGCUUGCGGUCAGGGAUGGCAAGGGCCUUCCAAGCUGAUGAGGCGGGUUCGAUUCCCGUCGCCCGCUCCA
rnacentral:tRNA from 1 species